UUGAUCAUGGCUCAGAUUGAACGCUGGCGGCAGGCUUAACACAUGCAAGUCGAGCGGGGGAAGGUAGCUUGCUACUGGACCUAGCGGCGGACGGGUGAGUAAUGCUUAGGAAUCUGCCUAUUAGUGGGGGACAACAUCUCGAAAGGGAUGCUAAUACCGCAUACGUCCUACGGGAGAAAGCAGGGGAUCUUCGGACCUUGCGCUAAUAGAUGAGCCUAAGUCGGAUUAGCUAGUUGGUGGGGUAAAGGCCUACCAAGGCGA
rnacentral:rRNA from 1 species